rnacentral:rRNA from 2 species
UGGGGAAUAUUGCACAAUGGGCGCAAGCCUGAUGCAGCAACGCCGCGUGAGGGAUGAAGGCCUUCGGGUUGUAAACCUCUUUUAGUAGGGAAGAAGCGAAAGUGACGGUACCUGCAGAAAAAGCGCCGGCUAACUACGUGCCAGCAGCCGCGGUAAUACGUAGGGCGCAAGCGUUAUCCGGAAUUAUUGGGCGUAAAGAGCUCGUAGGCGGUUUGUCACGUCUGCUGUGAAAUCUGGGGGCUCAACCCCCAGCCUGCAGUGGGUACGGACAGACUAGAGUGUGGUAGGGGAGACUGGAAUUCCUGGUGUAGCGGUGAAAUGCUCAGAUAUCAGGAGGAACACCAAUGGCGAAGGCAGGUCUCUGGGCCACUACUGACGCUGAGGAGCGAAAGCGUGGGGAGCAAACAGG